rnacentral:piRNA from 1 species
GAACAGAGAACAGAACAGGAUGAGGGA